CCCUUAGAUGUCCUGGGCCGCACGCGCGCUACACUGACAUGUUCAACAAGCCUCCUAGUUCGACAGGAUUUGGGAAAUCUUUGAACGCAUGUCGUGAUAGGGAUAGAUCAUUGCAAUUAUUGAUCUUGAACGAGGAAUUCCUAGUAAACGCGAGUCAUCAGCUCGCAUUGAUUACGUCCCUGCCCUUUGUACACACCGCCCGUCGCACCUACCGAUUGAAUGUUUCGGUGAAGAUUCCGGAUAGGAUUUUUUUGAUUUAUUUCAAUUCUGUCUUAAAAGCUAUCUAAACCUCAACAUUUAGAGGAAGGUGAAGUCGUAACA
rnacentral:rRNA from 1 species